rnacentral:tRNA from 1 species
ACGCCGGCCCAGCGCGACGCGGCCGACGCGCUGUUCUCCGCCAACGGCGCGGUGGCGUGGCUCGCCGACGAGGCGCAGAUCGACGCCGUGACCGCCGUG